GAUGAGUAUUAAGGAGAGGUGGGGUUGCACUAAUACCAAAAAAAUAGAACGCAAAACAAUCAGGGAGUGAAGCUCAACACUGGACACUCAAGUGAAAAUAAAAGGAGAAGAGAAGAACACACAAUCCUGAAAGAUGGGAGAGAUGGCAGAUCCAAUCCAGUUAAAAGAUGAGGGAAACAAGCAUUUCCAAGCCGGUGAGGUGGACAAGGCCAUUGAGUGCUACACAAAAGCCACCAAGUUGUGCAAAGACAAAAAGGUGCUCGCUGUCAUCUACAGGAACAGAUCAGCCUGCUUCCUGAAAAAGGAAAGCUACACCAAUGCAGCCUCCGAUGCCUCCAAAGCCAUUGACGUGGAUGCAGCAGACGUCAAAGCCCUGUUCCGGCGGUGCCAGGCUCUGGAGAAGCUGGGCAAGCUGGACAUGGCCUUCAAAGACGUCCAGAGGUGUUCCACCAUCGAGCCCAAAAAUAAGACCUUCCUGGAGACCCUCAGGAGGCUGGGGGCGGAGAUCCAAGCCAAGCUGAAGACAACCUUCUCCACAGACUCACGGGUCAAGAACAUGUUUGACAUUCUGCUUGAUGAGGAGAUGGACAAGGACAAGAAGGAAAAGGCUGCUAACAACCUGGUGGUUCUGGCCAGAGAAGAUGCUGGCGCUGAGAGAAUCUUCCAGAACAACGGAGUGCCUCUGCUGUUGGAUAUGCUUGAGACCGGAAAAGUAGAGAUGGUCCUGGCUGCUAUCCGUACCUUCGCGGGAAUGUGCACUGGACACAAAGCACGGACCAUGGCCAUUAUCCACCUGGUGGGCAUUGACAAGCUGUGCAGCAUCAUGGCAGUCGACAAUGAGGACAUCGCCUUGGCAACUUCCGACCUGUUCCAGUGCAUCAAUGACUCCCUUACCGGAGGAGACCAGAGGAUUUAUGGGAAGGAGGAAGCCCUGGUUUUGGAUGCCAGCAAAGACUUGAAGAGCAUCCUGAUGGCCCUGCUGGAGAUGGUUGCCAGUAAGAAGGUUUCAGGACACGGCAGAGACCAGGCCCUGAACCUGCUGUGCAGGAACGUGCCUCGCAAGGACAAGAAAGACCAUGACCACUCCAAGAGCCUCUUCACCAUCGACCAUGGUCUGAAGAAGAUCCUGAAGGUGUGUGGCCAGAUACCUGACCUCCCAGACCAGCUGCCCAUGACGGAGAACACUCAGCUCAUCGCCAGCGUGUUGCUUGACAAGCUCUGGGACGACCUGCGCUGCGACCCCGAGAGAGACCACUACAGGGAAGUCUGUGACGAGUACAUCAAAGGCAAGUUUGACCCCAACGACAUGGACAGGAACAUCCACGCCAUCAACGCUCUGUCAGGCCUGCUGCAGGGGCCAUUUGAGGUUGGCAACCAGCUGGUGGGUCGCCAGGGCAUCAUGGAGAUGAUGGUGGCGCUGUGCGGCUCUGAGCGUGAGGUGGACCAGAUGGUCGCCGUGGAAGCGCUGAUCCACUCCUCGACGAAGAUGAGCCGCGCCUCCUUCAUUAUCACCAACGGCGUGUCGCUGCUCAAAGACAUCUACAAGAAGACCAAGAACGAGAAGAUCAAGAUCCGUGCGCUGGUGGGUCUGUGUAAGCUGGGCUCAGCAGGUGGAGAUGACUAUAGUAUGAGGCAGUUUGCUGAGGGCUCCACUGAGAAACUGGCCAAGCAGUGCAGGAAGUGGCUGUGUAACUCUGCCAUGGACACGAAGACCAGGAAGUGGGCUAUAGAAGGUCUGGCCUACCUGACCCAAGACGCUGAUGUAAAGGAUGACUUUGUUGAGGACGAGCCUGCUAUGAAAGCCAUGUUUGAACUGGCCAAGUCUAAAGAUAAGACCAUCCUAUAUGCUGUGGCCUGUACCCUGGUCAACUGCACCAACAGCUAUGAGAAGAAAGAUAUCAUGCCUGAGCUGGUUCAGCUGGCCAAGUUCUCCAAGCAGCAUGUCCCAGAGCAGCACCCCAAGGACAAGAAGGAUUUCAUCCAGAAGAGAGUGAAGAGGAUGCUAAAGGGAGGGGUCAUCUCAGCUCUCACUGUCAUGGUGAAAGCUGACAACCUUCUCCUGACUGACCAGACCAAAGAGAUGCUGGCAAGGGUGUUCCUUGCCUUGGCAGAUGAUGCCAAAGACCGUGGCACGAUUUGCGCCCAUGGAGGGGGCAAGGCUCUGAUCCCAUUGGCUCUGGAGGGAUCAGCUAUAGGGAAAAUAAGGGCCUCCCACGCCCUGGCUAAGAUCGCUGCUGUGUCCAACCCAGAGAUUGCCUUCCCAGGAGAGAGGAUCUAUGAGGUGGUGCGUCCUCUGGUCAGCCUGUUGCACCCUGAGAGAGAUGGGGUGCAGAACUACGAGGCACUUCUGAGUCUCACCAACUUGGCUGGUCUCAACGACAAACUGAGAGUGAAGAUCCUGAAAGAGAAAGCUCUCCCUGAGAUUGAGCAGUACAUGUUUGAAGACCAUGAUCAUAUCAGACAGGCAGCCACAGAGUGCAUGUGCAACCUGGUGACGUGCAAAGAGGUACAGGAUCGGUACCUGGAGGAUGGGAAUGAUAGGCUGAAGCUGCUGGUGCUGAUGUGUGCUGAGGACGAUGAAAAGCUCCAGAGAGCUGCAGCCGGAGCACUGGCCAUGCUCACUGCCGCCCAGAAGAAACUGUGCACCAAGAUGACCCUGGUGACUUUGCAGUGGAUGGAGAUCCUUCAGAGGCUCAUUCUCCAUGACCAGCCCCAGAUCCAGCACAGAGGCCUGGUGAUUGUGUACAACAUACUGAACUCGGACGACAACGAGCUGGCCAAGAAGCUGAUCGAGAGCGAGAUCCUGGAGAUCCUGACAGUGAUUGGCAAAGCAAUGGACAACCCCAAGAGGCAGCUUGUGAUCGAUGUGGCACGCACCUGCCUGGUCAAGGCCAUGGACCUCGGCCUCAUUAAGCCAUUCACAACCCCUUCUUAAAGCAGUGUUUCUUAAGCUUUUUAUAGUACUACGGACUGGCUUGCAAUGGACCUACUCCCUUAAAGGCGCAACCCAAUCAACCAGAAACAAAUCACACAGAAAUAAGAACAUGUAUGACAGUUCCAUUUUAGUCCAAUGAGUGUGUAUAUUUGGUGGGUACACUUGCAAACGCCCAUACCCCUCACUGCCCACAGUCCUCCCAAAGUGUCAGGCCAACACUUGUUACAGUACAUUGGACUUACAGUUUGUGCCUUUUAAUGAAAACUGCAACGUGUGAGCUAAUUACAGUCUGCCUAACUUGCUGAUCAGAUACACCCCACAGAUUGAGGUCCAGAGACUGAAGAUUGAGAAACUCUGUGUUGAGUGUGGGCCAAUGGACAGGGAGGCCAGGAGAUGGGACUGAUGGUGCACCUGAACAGCCACCUAUCAUGAAAUCAGAGACAGUACAAAUUAAUCUCUUUAGAUAUUUUAUUUAGAAUUUUCAGAAAGAAAACACCACGUGAACGUUUAACCAUUUUUUAGAAAAGACAACAAUGCCUGUCUUGGCAUUAAAGCUCUGUCCUGCAGGGUAGCUCACUGCCAGAGCCAAGCGUCAUAUGAAUGUUAUAAUAAAACUAUAGGCAGUGAGCAUGAUACGCUAUAUCAAAUCCCCCCCCCCCCGAUGGAAGAAACAGAACCCACAGGUGGAGGCUGGGCUGGUGGUGGGACAUCAGAAACAGAACCCACAGGUGGAGGCUGGGCUGGUGGUGGGACAUCAGAAACAGAACCCACAGGUGGAGGCUGGGCUGGUGGUGGGACAUCAGAAACAGAACCCACAGGUGGAGGCUGGGCUGGUGGUGGGAUAUCAGAAACAGAACCCACAGGUGGAGGCUGGGCUGGUGGUGCGACAUCAGAAACAGAACCCACAGAUGGAGGCUGGGCUGGUGGUGGGACAUCAGAAACAGAACCCACAGGUGGAGGCUGGGCUGGUGGUGGGACAUCAGAAACAGAACCCACGGGUGGAGGCUGGGCUGGUGGUAAAAACCCUGAGUGUAAUAUUUUCAAUUAUCCACCAUCUUGGUAUACAGCUUAUGUCAGAAUUGACCUCCAGGUGACCCCUACCCCCACAAAAAUAAGACUUCCAUCUUGAUGACUUCUAGAAAAAGAAGGCAAAUAGCCUCACACAGAUGUUGAUGUGUGUGUGUGUAUUGUUGCAUGUGCAGUAAGCCCACAAGCUGAUUCUUUCCUCCUUUCUUGGCAGAGAUCUCAGAAAUGGUUCAUUUGUAAACCCCAAAUUGAUCACGUAGAAUGUACACUGAGUGUACAAAACAUUAGGAACACAGACUGACCAGGUGAAAGCUAUGGUCCUGUAUUGAUGUAUUUUGAUAAAUCCACUUAAAUCAGUUUAGAUGAAGUGGAGGAGAUAGGUUAAAGAAGGAUCUUUAAGCCUUGAGACAUGGAUUGUGUAUGUGUGCCAUCCAGAGGGUGAAUGGGCAAGACAAAAUAUUUAAGUGCCUUUGAACUGGGUAUGGUAGUAGGUGCCAGGCGCACCGGUUUGAGUCAAGAAGUGCAAUGUUGUUAGGCUUUUCACGCUCAACAGUUUCCGAUGUGUAUCAAGUAUGAUCCACCACCUUAAAGGCAUCCAGCCAACUUGACACAACUGUGGGAAGCAUUAGUCAACAUCCCUGUGGAAUGCUUUUGACACCUUUUAGAGUCUAUCCCCCAACGAAUUGAGGCUGCUCUGAGGGCAAAAGGGAGUGCAACUCAAUAUCUUAAUGUUUUGUACACUCUGUGUAUAUGCUAUAUCUCACAUCAGGCCUUCCGAAUAAAGUAAUGUUUGCUGUGACACAUAAAACAUUUUCCGUAGGUCUGUAUUAUUCCGCAAAGUUCUAUCUAGCGCUGCUGUGAGGGGGAGGAGCGCAUAACCUUGUGAUGUAGCGCCAAGGAUUGUCUAUUAUAUUGACAAGAUAUACACGUGACCACUCUAACAAAGGAAAUACAUGUCCUCAAAGAUGGCAGGCAGGCGGGAGGAGGCGAGAUCAGGUGGGACCAUUCUAGCCAAUGAGAGUGCAGAUACGAUUGAAAACAACAGGCCAGCGAGAUAGAGGACUCAUCUUUGUAUCUGUUCCAUUAUAGCGUUUGUGACAGCAUUGGCAGCACCAUUGAGCCUAACUCCAUUUUAAAGUAGAUGCAUGCCAGCAAAGCCACUACACAACACAAAACCGAACAAUACAUUAACUGCACUAUAAUUGUGACAAAUGGUGCCCACAAACUAUUAGGGCCUACAUAAAACUGUCCCAACAGAAAAGCUUUCUUUUCAGCACCAUGGAGUGAAACCUUACCACCGCUACACCUGGCUAUCAGUAGAUACUUAUCUGGCAGCGAAGCAGUUAAUUCAGCCUCAUCUACUGCCUUUUAAAAACAUAGUUGGUAUUUUUUCAUUAAAUUGAACUUUUAUUUAACUAGGCAAGUCAGUUAAGAAAACAUUAUUAUUUACAAUGACAGCCUACACCAGCCAA